rnacentral:rRNA from 1 species
AUUGAACGCUGGCGGAAUGCUUUACACAUGCAAGUCGAACGGCAGCACGGACUUCGGUCUGGUGGCGAGUGGCGAACGGGUGAGUAAUGUAUCGGAACGUGCCCAGUCGUGGGGGAUAACGUAGUGAAAAUUACGCUAAUACCGCAUACGAUCUAUGGAUGAAAGCGGGGGAUCGCAAGACCUCGCGCGAUUGGAGCGGCCGAUAUCAGAUUAGGUAGUUGGUGGGGUAAAGGCCCACCAAGCCAGCGAUCUGUAGCUGGUCUGAGAGGACGACCAGCCACACUGGAACUGAGACACGGUCCAGACUCCUACGGGAGGCAGCAGUGGGGAAUUUUGGACAAUGGGCGAAAGCCUGAUCCAGCCAUUCCGCGUGCAGGAUGAAAGCCCUCGGGUUGUAAACUGCUUUUGUACAGAACGAAAAGGUUUCUACUAAUACUAGGAGCUCAUGACGGUACUGUAAGAAUAAGCACCGGCUAACUACGUGCCAGCAGCCGCCGUAA